CGGGAAAAGCUCAAAUUUAAAAUCUGGUAGUCUCUGGCUGCCCGAGUUGUAAUCUAGAGAAGCGUUAUCCGUGCUGGACCGUGUAUAAGUCUCCUGGAAUGGAGCGUCAUAGAGGGUGAGAAUCCCGUCUUUGACACGGACUCCCAGUGCAUUGUGAUGCGCUCUCGAA
rnacentral:rRNA from 1 species